rnacentral:rRNA from 1 species
CUGGAGGACAGGUGCUGCAUGGCUGUCGUCAGCUCGUGUCGUGAGAUGUUGGGUUAAGUCCGCAACGAGCGCAACCCUUGCCUUUAGUUGCCAGCAGUUCGGCUGGGCACUCUAAAGGGACUGCCGGUGUUAAACCGGAGGAAGGUGGGGAUGACGUCAAGUCCUCAUGGCCUUUAUGACCAGGGCUACACACGUACUACAAUGGCCGAUACAAAGGGCAGCGACACUGCGAGGUGAAGCCAAUCCCGUAAAAUCGGUCUCAGUCCGGAUUGGAGUCUGCAACUCGACUCCAUGAAGUUGGAAUCGUUAGUAAUCGUGGAUCAGCAUGCCACGGUGAAUACGUUCCCGGGCCUU